CCUACGGGCGGCUGCAGUGGGGAAUAUUGGACAAUGGGGGGAACCCUGAUCCAGCCAUGCCGCGUGUGUGAAGAAGGCCCUCGGGUUGUAAAGCACUUUCAGUGAGGAAGAACGCCUGGUGGUUAAUACCCAUCAGGAAAGACAUCACUCACAGAAGAAGCACCGGCUAACUCCGUGCCAGCAGCCGCGGUAAUACGGAGGGUGCGAGCGUUAAUCGGAAUUACUGGGCGUAAAGCGCGCGUAGGUGGCUUGAUAAGCCGGUUGUGAAAGCCCCGGGCUCAACCUGGGAACGGCAUCCGGAACUGUCAAGCUAGAGUGCAGGAGAGGAAGGUAGAAUUCCCGGUGUAGCGGUGAAAUGCGUAGAGAUCGGGAGGAAUACCAGUGGCGAAGGCGGCCUUCUGGACUGACACUGACACUGAGGUGCGAAAGCGUGGGUAGCAAACAGGAUUAGAUACCCCGUAGUC
rnacentral:rRNA from 1 species